GGAGUUGUGGCUCAGUGGUGGAGCUCUCACCUAGCACGUGUGAGGCUCUGGGUUCGAUCCUCAGCACCA
rnacentral:tRNA from 1 species